AGUGGCGGACGGGUGAGUAACGCGUGAGAAUCUGCCUUCAGGUCGGGGACAACAUUUGGAAACGAAUGCUAAUACCCGAUGUGCCGCAAGGUGAAAGGUUAACUGCCUGAAGAUGAGCUCGCGUCCGAUUAGCUAGUUGGUGGUGUAAAGGGCUACCAAGGCGACGAUCGGUAGCUGGUUUGAGAGGACAAUCAGCCACACUGGGACUGAGACACGGCCCAGACUCCUACGGGAGGCAGCAGUGGGGAAUUUUCCGCAAUGGGCGAAAGCCUGACGGAGCAAUACCGCGUGAGGGACGAAGGCCUGUGGGUUGUAAACCUCUUUUCUCAGGGAAGAAGCUCUGACGGUACCUGAGGAAUCAGCAUCGGCUAACUCCGUGCCAGCAGCCGCGGUAAGGCGGAGGAUGCAAGCGUUAUCCGGAAUUAUUGGGCGUAAAGCGUCCGCAGGCGGUUUCGUAAGUCUGUCUUUAAAGAGUGGAGCUUAACUCCAUAAAGGGGAUGGAAACUGCGAGACUAGAGGUAGGUAGGGGUAGAAGGAAUUCCCAGUGUAGCGGUGAAAUGCGUAGAUAUUGGGAAGAACACCAGCAGCGAAGGCGUUCUACUGGACCAAACCUGACGCUCAUGGACGAAAGCUAGGGGAGCGAAAGGGAUUAGAUACCCCUGUAGUCCUAGCCGUAAACGAUGGACACUAGGUGUUGCAC
rnacentral:rRNA from 1 species